CUUGAAUGUUUCUUUGUAAAUA
rnacentral:siRNA from 1 species